rnacentral:misc_RNA from 1 species
UUUCCGUAGGUGAACCUGCGGAAGGAUCAUUCAUAAUAAAGUGUUUUAUGGCACUUUUUAAAAAUCCAUAUCCACCUUGUGUGCAAUGUUAGAUCUCGUCAAUCUUGGCGAGGUUUUUAUACAUCAACUCAUUCUUUAACUAAUUUGUCUGAAGAAUAUUAUGAAUACUUAAUUCAAAAUACAACUUUCAGCAACGGAUCUCUUGGCUCUC